UAUCACGGGAGACACACGGCGGGUGCUAACGUCCGUCGUGAAGAGGGAAACAACCCAGACCGCCAGCUAAGGUCCCAAAGUCAUGGUUAAGUGGGAAACGAUGUGGGAAGGCCCAGACAGCCAGGAUGUUGGCUUAGAAGCAGCCAUCAUUUAAAGAAAGCGUAAUAGCUCACUGGUCGAGUCGGCCUGCGCGGAAGAUGUAACGGGGCUAAACCAUG
rnacentral:rRNA from 1 species